CAGAGGACUUUCCCCUGCUCGAUGGCCAUCUGUUUUUAACUUCUGUUUGUCCAUUGGGAAAGUUGUCAAAAUAGGGUGAAAUUUAGCCUGUUGCCGAUGGUGGUGCAUUUCUCGACUGCUUCCUAUACCAUACACAUGCCCCAAGAUUGCAAGGGUGCAAUUUUGUUUAUGAUUUGGGGUCAGUCCGUGGCAAUCUCUAAAGAAUUUGGGAUUUUCAUCUGAAUCCAAGCUUUGAUGAGUUUCCUACUCGACCCCAUUGACUGAUUUAUGAUGUGGCAUUAGUUGAAGUUGGACUUCAUGGAGUUGAAAGACGACUUGCAUUUUACUGUUAUGUUUGUAGCUUUAGUUUCAUCGGGAGCUUUUAAUCAUCCUCCGACACAGCAACUGAUGUUGGUAUUUUUGAAAUUAUGAUAUUCUGCAGGAGGGAUAGCUUCCAAUGAUGUGUAUCAAGAUCAGAUUCAGCAGUUCCUAACAGCAAUGAAGUUUCAACACCAUUGGGAAAGUACUGUAUACUGUUAUAUUCAUCAAUCAUCACAGAGGAAAAUGAAAAAAGAAAAAAAGAAAAGAAAAGAAAAGAAAAAGUCUUAAAUAGGGAAUUUGGAGUACCCCUUUUUUUUGGGCUAUGGCCACUGUACAGAUGCUGGGGAAUUGCAUUUAAGGGUCCAGAUUUCACACUGCGGGGAUAUUUCCAAGGUGCGCUGGUUGAGGCUGCUGCGUUCGGCCUAGGUUUUAGCUGCUGUUACUGGCUGUUCUUCUACCUAAUAUGUUGUUGUAUGCAACAUCAAUCACAUCUGCAUCAAUUUGAAGAAAAAUCUAAUUACAGUUUCUUUUUC